AUUGAACGCUGGCGGCAGGCCUAACACAUGCAAGUCGAACGAGUGGCGGACGGGUGAGUAAUGUCUGGGAAACUGCCUGAUGGAGGGGGAUAACUACUGGAAACGGUAGCUAAUACCGCAUACCAUCGGAUGUGUCCAGAUGGGAUUAGCUAGUAGGUGGGGUAAAGGCUCACCUAAGCGACGAUCCCUAGCUGGUCUGAGAGGAUGACCAGCCACGCUGGAACUGAGACACGGUCCAAACUCCUACGGUAGGCAGAAGUGGCGAAUAGGGCACAAUGGUGGCAGGCCUAAUGCAGAAAUGCCGCGUGGAUGAAGAAGGCCUUCGGGUUGUAAAGUACUUUCAGCCGGGAGGCGUUACCCGCAGAAGAAGCACCGGCUAACUUCGUGCCAGCCGCCGCGGUAAUUC
rnacentral:rRNA from 1 species